rnacentral:rRNA from 1 species
UGGGGAAUAUUGCACAAUGGGCGCAAGCCUGAUGCAGCCAUGCCGCGUGUGUGAAGAAGGCCUUCGGGUUGUAAAGCACUUUCAGCGGGGAGGAAGGUGUCAAGGUUAAUAACCUUGGCAAUUGACGUUACCGACAGAAGAAGCACCGGCUAACUCCGUGCCAGCAGCCGCGGUAAUACGGAGGGUGCAAGCGUUAAUCGGAAUUACUGGGCGUAAAGCGCACGCAGGCGGUUGAUUGAGUCAGAUGUGAAAUCCCCGGGCUUAACCCGGGAAUUGCAUCUGAUACUGGUCAGCUAGAGUCUUGUAGAGGGGGGUAGAAUUCCAUGUGUAGCGGUGAAAUGCGUAGAGAUGUGGAGGAAUACAGGUGGCGAAGGCGGCCCCCUGGACAAAGACUGACGCUCAGGUGCGAAAGCGUGGGGAGCAAACAGG